rnacentral:rRNA from 1 species
UACGAGGGGGGCAAGCGUUGUCCGGAGUUAUUGGGCGUAAAGCGCGCGCAGGCGGCCUCGCGCGCCCGACGUGAAAGCCCCCGGCUUAACCGGGGAGGGUCGUUGGGGACGGCGGGGCUUGAGGGCGGGAGAGGGUGGUGGAAUUCCCGGUGUAGUGGUGAAAUGCGUAGAGAUCGGGAGGAACACCCGUGGCGAAGGCGGCCACCUGGGCCGACCCUGACGCUGAGGCGCGAAGGCGUGGGGAGCGAACGGG